AACGAACGCUGGCGGCGUGCCUAACACAUGCAAGUCGAGCGAGAAAGUCUUCGGAUGAGUAAAGCGGCGCACGGGUGAGAAAUAUGUAGGUAAUCUGCCGUUUAGUGGGGAAUAACAUUCCGAAAGGAGUGCUAAUACCGCAUGUGGAUACAUUUCAUAAGUUGUGUAUCUAAGGGGGGCGUAAGCUCUCGCUAAAUGAGGAGCCUGCAUCUCAUUAGCUAGUUGGUGGGGUAAUGGCCUACCAAGGCGACGAUGAGUAGCUGGUCUGAGAGGAAGACGAGCCACACUGGAACUGAGACACGGUCCAGACUCCUACGGGAGGCAGCAGUGGGAAUUUUGCACAAUGGGCGAAAGCCUGAUGCAGCGACGCCGCGUGGGUGAUGAAGGCCUUCGGGUUGUAAAGCCCUGUCAGCAGGGACAAAAAAAGGUGUGCUAAUACCACAUCUCUUGAUGGUACCUGCAGAGGAAGCACCGGCUAACUCUGUGCCAGCAGCCGCGGUAA
rnacentral:rRNA from 1 species